GUAAAGGGUUAAGAAGCUAGGAUAACCUCACUAACAUCUGACCAAAAUGACCAAUGAGGAGACAAGAUACUUUCAAAGCUGGAGUGGGGGGAGGAGAAACAAAGGGUCUGUCUGUCUGCGUGAUGCUUUUGCCGGGAACAGAUCAGGAACGCAGCUCAGAACUCCUCUAAAAAAUUCUUUCAGUCCAGUUUCCAUCUAACAAGUCCUCUGCUGGAAGUAUCUUUAAUAUGGCAAUACCCAGAGAGAGAGACAACAACUCAUUCACUGAAUGGAAACACAGGUCUGUUUAAUGAAGAUUGUAAAUGGUCGUUUCACCUGCAAAGCAACCCUCUGCUCUCGUGAAGAGAAAUGCACCCGAAACCUACUGGAAAUAGCCUGGGCCCAAAAUGAUAAAAGUGAAUUGUGUGGAGGGAAGAGCAACAGUAUAUGAGCAUCAAGGAUUUCUCUUCAUGCAUCGAAAGCCAGGGAUUUUAACAGGCUCAAAUGAGUUAAUGUUAGAAACAACUUCUUUGCUCACCCUUCAAAAUUUCCAGAAGUUUGCUCUGAAGAACACUGUCAAUUACAAAGGUUUCUUUACAAAGAUUCUGUGAAGCUAAAAUUUAAUCAAGCCUUAAGAGAUGGUCUCAGGAAGUUUGGAAUAAAAGAUCUCAGGUCAAAGAUGAUCUCGAUUAAACAUUUUCAUAUCACUUUUCCUGUUCUUCUAAUUGUGAGAAAGUGUCUGUUGUCUAAAAUCCCUACAUGAGAAGCACUUACUCCUAAUUAAAUCUCAAGGGGGGGGGGGGAAACUAUGUUAAAGUGGAAGUAAAGUUGACAUUACAUAUUGGUAAUAAAGGGUAAAAAUUUUACAGGAAUGUUUGAAUUUCCUGGAUUUAUAAUACUUAGUUUCAGAUAAUCCCUGUAAUGUUUUUUAUCCUUAAAUUACUGGCACACAUGCUGAACCGUAACUCCAUUUUAACAGUUUUUGGUCUGGAGCUUCUCUAAUUUGUUUUUUAAAAAUUAAGAUUUCAUACAAAAACACUUAACAAGAAACCCAAAGGGAAUGCUACCAUGUGAUAUUUCUAUUAAAGUUGCAUACUAUCAA